GCGGUCGGGGGUGACGUAGCGAAAGAACACAACCACUUUGUCCACGGACACGAGCUUGACUUUCUCCCAGCACCCCACACGCACCAGGAGCUGGUGCAGCUUCAGCUCGUGAGUUUUAUUCCCUGUAUGAAAAUAACAGGGAUACGUCACAAACCAUUCCUAUGCCUGAGUUUCUCGAGCUUCAAACUCAAAGGGAAUCUCCUUUCCAGGCAGCACCUCUUCCCACUGGCUGACGAUGUGGUUGUCAUCUGACAGAGCUGUGCACGUGGGAUAUGGAGUCUGCACUGCCACUGUGAGACAGCGCCACCCUGUGGGGAAACUGAAGACUCUUGUUACCAACAUGCAAUGAUUCAGGAAGGCGCAACGAUCAAAUAUAUCCACAUCAACAUGCCAUUGAUGGAAUGCACAACAAUCCUUAUUAAACCAAUCCAUAAUUAAUCAAGGCCAAAUGUCAGUAUGGAU